GAGACACAGGUGAGAGAAAGAGUUCUUUGUUUCUUGAUUCGAAAAUCUUCCAUAUCUUUUGUGGAUCUAAUAAUUAGUUAUUGAAAUCAAAUCUCAACACAACUUUUACUUAAGGAUUAACACUUCUUCAUAAAUUAAUAAUAUUGAUUUUUUUAGUAACUUUAUGAUAGAUCUCUAUAAUUUUAAUUUCAUAAUAGGGUGGUUAAUAAUGCUUUUCCUUGUUAUAUAUGUCAUUUUUUAUCUUUUCCUGUAAAUUAUUUUUGUUUAUUUAGCCCCUGUAAAAAAAAAUUGAAAUACCUCUUUAAUAGGUCAUUCAAAAAAAAAUUGCAGAAAUUUUCGUAUUUGAAUGACCUAAUAGGGGUAUUCAAAAAAAAAAAAAUUACAGUAAGCAAAACAAACAAAAAAAUUACAGAGGAGAAAACCAAAAAUGACAUAUAUUAUAGGGCGGUAAAACACCAUUAACACUUCAUAAUAUGACAUCAAUCCUUAUACAAUCCUUUAUGGAGCUUAUAAAAUAAAUAAACUCAAUAAUAUAAUACAAUUUACAUAAUAAUUAUUGAAAGCAUCUAUAAGACAUUGAUUCUUAUUUAUGGAAUUGUAAAGUAUAACCUAUAAUUAUCGGUACAAAAAUUAAAACUAUUUUACAAAAAUGAUUGAUGAAGAAGAAUUGCAUACCUCAAUUAGUUAGAGAUAGUGUCUUAUGAAAGUAUUGAAAUAAGAACAAGAAUAGAGAGAAGUAGAAAGAGAGAAAAGAGAUUCUAUUUUUCUCAUUAAAUACAAAAAGUGACUUUGAAGAUAAGUUUAAUGAUGUUAGUUUGACUUGAUUAUAAUAUGUCUAGAUAAUCCAAUAUUUAAAUUGAAAUCCACUUAUAUUAUACUAUUCAUAAUAAUUAAUUAAUUAUUAAAAAUAAAAAUUUAUACUAAUAUUGUAGAGUCGUAUGUCCUCGCUUUGUCAUCCUCUCAUUUUUGUACAGUUUUGCUUACACAGCAACAUACAAAUAAGAAGGAGCACAAAUGCAAGGGAAUAUGACAUAGAUCAUUACAUGUCUCCUUGAUUUGCGACAAAAUAGUUCUUCCCUUUUAUAAUGUUAACAAUCUUACAUUUACUGUGGACUAGUCGAUGUGGGCUAUACAAAUACAAUACUUCAGUUUUUCAUGUCCGCAAAGAGCAAGAAGAGUAUUUUUGAAUACUUUGUUAGUCAAUUUAAUCCUUGAAUGCAGACUUUGUUGGUCAAUUUAGUCUCUGAAUAUAGACUUCGUUAGUCACUUUAGUCCCUAAAAUUGACUAACAGAGUUUGCAUUCAGGGACUAAAGUGCCCCAUUUUUACCUGUGAACUGGUCGAUGUGGGCUCUUGUGAUUUGUAUACAUAGAAACAGACAUAAACAGCAGGUGAAAUAGAUGGUGACUGAAAGAGAACUUUUUGAUUCUUGAUACAAACAAUAUUUCCAGGAUACACAACACAAAACUGUAGAUUCAUCAAUUAGUCUCUUUGAAUUUAACCACUAGGUUUUUUACUUGUCAACUGGUCGAUGUGGGACUGGGGUUUAGACAAAAACACAACAAACUACAAUUCAUAUGAAAUAUAGAACUUGCUUUCUGGUCUCUCAAGCCUAAAAUUUUAUUGAACAUUCAAAAACUCAUAAUUCUAUUUAUUAUAGGUAAACAACAUAACAUGUGAUCUUUCUAGUACGGUAUGUCCUACUUAUGCAACCUCUACUCUAAAGGCCCUUAAAUGCUUCUACACCUCUGGGCUCACGUCUGUCUUAUUCUGAUCAUGGUUUCAUAGCUUCGCACCUGUGUCCGAUGGAACCUAGUCUUGUAAUAUAGGAUUACAAUGCAAAAAGUUCCUCAUCUAGUUAAGAAAGAACAAAAGUGAGUCUGAGCGAAACUUGUCCUCCUUGGAAGCUGGUAUAAUGAAAAUCACAUCAAAAUACAGUCUGAACUAAUUCAUUUGUUGUUGUGUGCUUCUUAGAGCCGAAACAUUGCACAGGCGAAGGGAAAUUGUAGCUGUUACCACAAAAAUUAACAUGCUUCCACCAAGUCCAUGUCUAAUGUCUAAUAUUGUGAAACGCUUUUCCCUGCGAUAAGAGAUAAUGGUAAACAUUUUAAACUUGAAAUGUCAUUGAAUCAAAUGUUUGAGUAGAAUAUAUUUUGCUUAAUGUUCACUUUUGUUGAUGACUUCAUUUUCUUAUUGUUCAUGUUUUUUUUCGUAUUGUUUAAUUAGCGCAGCGGAGUGCUGAUAUAUUUUUACUGAGUAAUAUACUUGAUGAUCCUAGCCCUCUCGUUUUAAGUCUCACGAAGAGCUCUUCGCUUUUAGAUUUGAUACAAACGAAGCUUUUUUCAAAGGAAUUCGGUUAAUGCAAAUAUCAGUAAUUUAAACUUUGAAGUGAAAAAGAAGAGUGCUUUUGUCGAAAAGCUACACACUUCAAAUUUCCGAGCUACACUUUUAAAAAUCCGUUCAUGGAAGGUUCAUUCAAGAUUCUCCAUGCGAUUUUUUAGUUUUUGAAAAAUUUAUACUUUUGAUAUAAAUAUGAAUUUUGAAGACUUCUUCCGUAUCAAAUCAAUGAGCCAAAACGAGAUCAUAUUCCCUUGAUUUUUCCCUUGUCCUCACCAAUAUCAGUUUAAUUUUUUUUUUUAGUAGCAUAAAUAUAGCUUUGGACCUCUUAAUUUUGGUCCUCUUAAUUAUGUCUAAUUUCCGUGUCUUCAAUAAAAUAAGCGUAUGAUUACUUAAGUUUAUUAUUUAAAAAAUAAAUAAAAAAUUACCUAAGUUUAUGUUCAUACAAAGGUGGAGUUAUUGGAAUUAUAUAUUGUUUAAAAUUUAUCUCUUAAGUAAAAUAUGUCUAUGAUUAGCUAAUCGCUGCAAAUUUAUAUAUAUUCUUAAAUAAAAGACUUUGAACCAUCUAUUUAGGCAAAACUACAAUUUUUGUCUCCCAUUUUAAUUUUUUUAUGAACCCAUGAUUUUCAACAUCCAAUUUGAUGAUAUAGCGAUAAAUUGUUAAUUACUAGCCUCUUGUAUCAUUUUAAAUUAUAUUUUGGCUUUGUAUGCUUGGUCAUUUCUCAUUUCAACACCCCUUUUUUUUUUUUAAAGAAACUAAAUUAGCCCAUAAAAAUUGGGUUUAGGAAGAAUUGAACCUGAAAUCUUGAAAAAGAGCAUAUCCGAAAGUAUGAAGCCAAUAUCACUAGAUCAAUUUAAGUGAGAUGUAACACCCCAUGUUUUAAGACACUACAAUUAGACAUUAAAUUGUUAAAGUCAAGUUACCUAAUUUAUCAUCGCUUCAUCAUGGUACCAAAAUUAGACAAUUAACAAUUGAAGGACAAAGAGCAUCUCUAAGGAAGAAUCAUUUAAUUAAUAAGGACUUCAAUCUAUUAAGGACUUUAAUUGGAGGGAGAAAAAAAAAGUAUUUAUUAGUUACGGACAAUUAUACAAAUACUCUCUUCAACGGGUCCCAUGAUCAAAAUAAUAAAAGAAAAUAGAUAAAAGUUGUUCCCACCAUCUCAAAUUCAUGUGUUCCUACUAGGUCUUGACAGAAAAUUGAAAUCCGGCCCAAACCGGCCGAUGUCCAGCCCUAGUUCCUACUCAAUUCAAUUUAUUUUUAUUUAUAUUAUAAAUAUACAAAUUAAAGUACAUGUUAGUGGCACUUUUUUAAAAAUUCGCUUUUGUUUACUACAAUUGAAGUGUUUUAAUAGAUACUUUUAUUAAAAUAUUAUAAAUAAAUUAUAUGUACCAAAAUAAAACAAAUAAAUUUAAACUAAUAUUUUUUUGAGGGAAAAAUUUAAACUAAUAUUUAUUGAACCCUUUCAUUGAAAAUCAUAUUUCCUCCUAUCCUAAUUCUACAUUUAUAUAAUUUCAUUCACAAAUAAAGAUGUAACGAAGAAUUGAGAACGCAGGAAAUAUGACCUCAUUCAUCGUUGGGCUUGUUGCUUUAUAAUAGAAGCAUCAUUUUCAUUUUAUAACCAAAAAAAGCUGGCUUUAACUUGUGAAUUAGUCGAUGUGGUCUCUAGACAAAAAACAGAGAAAUGCACUAUGCCAAUACCUCUCUACAAAUGCACUUUUAUUCUCACAUUCAUUUGUUUCCAAUCAUUCUUCAUUUCCAUUUCUCAAAACAGAACAUGAAGACUGCUUUCUGAGGAAGCAAAGCCUUCAAUGCCAUUUGCAAUGAAAAUUAUCUAGGCAAUGAGAGCA
rnacentral:lncRNA from 1 species